UCAAUUGAGUGUUUCAGUGAAAAUCUUGUCUAAGUGUUUCUAGACUUGGUUCAAGAUAUUUUGGAUAAGUUAAGAAGUCAGUUUGAACCAAAGUCUGAGACUCGAGUCGACUCCGGGAUAUUACGAGUCGACUCCAAGCGUAUCAGAAUCACUGGCACGGGCUCGAGUCGACUCCGGAUCAUUACGAGUCGACUCCGACUGAGAACUGACAGACGAACAGAAAGACUCAACUCAAAA
rnacentral:lncRNA from 1 species